AUGAUCACGGCUAUCAAAGCUCAAAGGGAAGAUUGGCUUGAGCAUCGACCGGGACACUCAAAUGUUGCAGCGGAUAAAAGUUCAUGGGCACAGCUAUGGCAAGCGCAAGUACCAUCCAAAGUCCGUGUUUUCGUGUGGCGACUUGCCCACACUUCGCUACCCACGGGCCUGGUCCGGCACCAGAGGAAGAUGGCAGACAGCCCGGUCUGCUCCAUAUGCAAUGUCGCGGAGGAUUCAUGUACCAUGGCAAGAUGUGUGUGGGCGCUGGGAGAUGACGAGUUACUAGAGCAUGUGAUAUCGAACCAAAAUGAGGAUGCUAGGCUCUGGCUCUUCUGGCUUUUCGAGACUACAAACCAACAGGACCUUGCUCGUGUUCUAGUAACCAUGUGGGCGAUUUGGUGGGCUCGGAGGAAGGCGAUUCAUGACCAUGAAUUUCAGAGCCCGUUAUCAACGAUGUGCUUCAUCAACAGAUUUUUGGAUGAUCUUGAGAUUGUUGCUGCCAGGAAUUCAAAACAACCAGUUGGACGGGUUGGUCAGCCCCGGGCGAGAGUGUGGAUACCACCUAUGGGGGAUGCGGCAAAACUAAAUUGUGACGGAGCUCUUUCCACUUUAGGAGAUAGAGGAGCUGCUGUAGUGGUAUGUAGGGACAAGGCCGGAGUCUAUCUUGGAGCUUCAGCGGUUGUUUAUGAGGGCCUGAUCGACCCAGCAAGCCUGGAGGCACUUGCUUGCAGCGAGAGCCUAGCCCUUGCUCGGGACUUAAAUCUGCAGAACUUGGAGGUAACCUCAGAUUGCCAGGAGGUGAUUUCGCAUAUCAGGAAUGGAGGUGCACCGGUCUACGCGCCUGUCCUUAAGGAAAUUCAGUUUAGUAGAAACCUUUUUCAUUCUGUUUCUUUCCAUUUCGAAUUUAGAGAGAAUAAUUUUGAGGCCCACUCGCUAGCUAAAGGAGCUGCGUCUCUUGCGGUGGGUCGCCAUGUGUGGCUAGGGGCCCUGCCCUACAUUGCUUGUAUCCCUCAUUUUCUGAACCAUGAAUAA
rnacentral:rRNA from 1 species